rnacentral:rRNA from 1 species
AGAGUUUGAUCAUGGCUCAGAUUGAACGCUGGCGGCAUGCCUUACACAUGCAAGUCGAACGGUAACAGGUCUUUCGGGAUGCUGACGAGUGGCGAACGGGUGAGUAAUACAUCGGAACGUGCCUAGUAGUGGGGGAUAACUACUCGAAAGAGUGGCUAAUACCGCAUGACAUCUGAGGAUAAAAGCAGGGGACCUUCGGGCCUUGUGCUACUAGAGCGGCCGAUGGCAGAUUAGGUAGUUGGUGGGAUAAAAGCUUACCAAGCCAACGAUCUGUAGCUGGUCUGAGAGGACGAUCAGCCACACUGGGACUGAGACACGGCCCAGACUCCUACGGGAGGCAGCAGUGGGGAAUUUUGGACAAUGGGCGCAAGCCUGAUCCAGCAAUGCCGCGUGCAGGAUGAAGGCCUUCGGGUUGUAAACUGCUUUUGUACGGAACGAAAAGCUCUGGGCUAAUAUCUCGGAGUCAUGACGGUACCGUAAGAAUAAGCACCGGCUAACUACGUGCCAGCAGCCGCGGUAAUACGUAGGGUGCGAGCGUUAAUCGGAAUUACUGGGCGUAAAGCGUGCGCAGGCGGUUUUGUAAGACAGUGGUGAAAUCCCCGGGCUCAACCUGGGAACUGCCAUUGUGACUGCAAGGCUGGAGUGCGGCAGAGGGGGAUGGAAUUCCGCGUGUAGCAGUGAAAUGCGUAGAUAUGCGGAGGAACACCGAUGGCGAAAGCAAUCCCCUGGGCCUGCACUGACGCUCAUGCACGAAAGCGUGGGGAGCAAACAGGAUUAGAUACCCUGGUAGUCCACGCCCUAAACGAUGUCAACUGGUUGUUGGGAAUUUAUUUUCUCAGUAACGAAGCUAACGCGUGAAGUUGACCGCCUGGGGAGUACGGCCGCAGGUUAAACUCAAAGGAUUGACGGGGACCCGCACAAGCGGUGGAUGAUGUCUUUAUCGAUGCAACGCGAAAACCUACCCACCUUUGACAUGUACGGAUCUUUAAAGAUAGAGGAGUGCUCGAAGAAAGCCGUAACACAGUGCUGCAUGCUGUCGUCCAGCUCUG